rnacentral:rRNA from 1 species
GACGAACGCUGGCGGCGUGCUUAACACAUGCAAGUCGAGCGAGGCCCCUCCUUCGGGAGGGUGUCCUAGCGGCGAACGGGUGAGUAACACGUGGGCAACCUGCCCUCAGCUCUGGGAUAACUCCGGGAAACCGGGGCUAAUACCGGAUACGACCUCCACGGGCAUCUGCGGAGGUGGAAAGUUUUUCGGCUGAGGAUGGGCCCGCGGCCGAUCAGCUAGUUGGUGGGGUAGUGGCCCACCAAGGCGACGACGGGUAGCCGGCCUGAGAGGGCGACCGGCCACCAUGGGACUGAGACACGGCCCAGACUCCUACGGGAGGCAGCAGUGGGGAAUAUUGCGCAAUGGGCGAAAGCCUGACGCAGCGACGCCGCGUGAGGGACGAAGGCCUUCGGGUUGUAAACCUCUUUCAGCAGGGACGAAGCGAAAGUGACGGUACCUGCAGAAGAAGCACCGGCCAACUACGUG